rnacentral:rRNA from 1 species
AGAGUUUGAUCAUGGCUCAGAACGAACGCUGGCGGCAGGCCUCAAACAUGCAAGUCUAGGGGGCGUAGCAAUACGUCACCGGCGGACGGGUGCGUAACACGUGGGAAUGUACUUAUUGGUUCGGAACAACUCAGGGAAACUUGAGCUAAUACCGAAUGUGCCCGUAAGGGGAAAGAUUUAUCGCCAAUAAAUCAGCCCGCGUCCGAUUAGCUAGUUGGUGGGGUAAAGGCUCACCAAGGCGACGAUCGGUAGCUGUUCUGAGAGGAAGAUCAGCCACACUGGGACUGAGACACGGCCCAGACUCCUACGGGAGGCAGCAGUUGGGAAUCUUGGACAAUGGGGGAAACCCUGAUCCAGCCAUGCCGCGUGAGUGAUGAAGGCCUUAGGGUUGUAAAACUCUUUCGGCGGGGACGAUAAUGACGGUACCCGCAGAAGAAGCUCCGGCUAACUUCGUGCCAGCAGCCGCGGUAAUACGAAGGGGGCUAGCGUUGUUCGGAAUUACUGGGCGUAAAGCGUGCGCAGGCGGCCAUCCAAGUCAGUGGUGAAAGCCCGGAGCUCAACUCCGGAAUUGCCAUUGAAACUGUUUGGCUCGAGUACGAGAGAGGUGAGUGGAAUUCCCAGUGUAGAGGUGAAAUUCGUAGAUAUUGGGAAGAACACCGGUGGCGAAGGCGGCUCACUGGCUCGUAACUGACGCUCAUGCGCGACAGCGUGGGGAUCAAACAGGAUUAGAUACCCCCGUAGUCC